AGGCCACGGUCAAAGGUGAGUGAGUCCCCGACUCUGGCUGGCAGAAGGAGUAGACAUUUUGAAAAGAAAUUUCAAGUGUGGAAGAAGCUAACUGCUGAAUUUAAGAGGAUUACAACCAUCAGUUUGCUGUCAAAGUUCUUCUCCCAGCUGGAUGCUCAUUCUUCAAACUUGAUGAGGGUGUUUGGCAAGAAAGGCGGCGUUCAAGGAAGAAAGAUAAGGAGCAUCAUGAUACCCAUCACCAAGACUGACGCCAUUGAUGUCAAAAGAGAGUGAAUCAUCAAAGCCCUGUGUGUGUACCUGAAUGAAGAGCCCGAGAACCUUGUGAAAGAAUACAUGAACACAGAUUGUGGGAGCAGUGAAGCUGCAGUGAUGGAGACGACAUUUGGAAUAUUUGUCAUUCGCAAGGAAGGUGCAGAGCCAGGUGAUGGACCGGAAGAUGUAGGUAUAGUUCUGGAUGGGCUCGGAAACGUGCCACUUGCUGUGGUCAUGUUGUUUGCGCUUGUAUAUGCGCUUAACCUCAGCUACCCGCCAGAGCUCAGAUACACCUUUGAAGCUUUGCAGAAGAUCAUCGUGGAGCUUGAUGGAAACAUACUCUCAAAAAAAACUCAAACACUGAAAACUCUACUUGCGUGUUAGUCACCCUCAAUAGAGUAAACUACAGGUUUGGAGUUACUCUAAUGGGAAGGCAUUUGAAGCCAUUUGAGUAGUUACUGAACUGAAAGCU